GGCCUCCUGGUGCUUACCCCAGGCUCCUCUAGAUAGAGGAGGAAAAUUAAAUCUACCCCAUAUACCCCUCAUCCAGGCCCUGUGCCUGGUCUGUAUUGUGAAUGGGAAGACAUGG
rnacentral:snoRNA from 1 species